AGUAUUAUAGAGUCUGCUAAUGCAUCUAAAUUACUGAUAUAGCGCAACAAUAUUAAUUUUCAAAGGGAAUUGUACCAAGAAAAAUAUUGGUGCGUCCUAGUGGACUCGAACCACCGACCCCCACCA
rnacentral:antisense_RNA from 1 species